rnacentral:rRNA from 1 species
GAUGAACGCUGGCGGCGUGCCUAAUACAUGCAAGUCGAGCGAACAGACGAGGAGCUUGCUCCUCUGACGUUAGCGGCGGACGGGUGAGUAACACGUGGAUAACCUACCUAUAAGACUGGGAUAACUUCGGGAAACCGGAGCUAAUACCGGAUAAUAUAUUGAACCGCAUGGUUCAAUAGUGAAAGACGGUUUUGCUGUCACUUAUAGAUGGAUCCGCGCCGCAUUAGCUAGUUGGUAAGGUAACGGCUUACCAAGGCGACGAUGCGUAGCCGAACUGAGAGGGUGACCGGCCACACUGGAACUGAGACACGGUCCAGACUCCUACGGGAGGCAGCAGUAGGGAAUCUUCCGCAAUGGGCGAAAGCCUGACGGAGCAACGCCGCGUGAGUGAUGAAGGUCUUCGGAUCGUAAAACUCUGUUAUUAGGGAAGAACAAAUGUGUAAGUAACUAUGCACGUCUUGACGGUACCUAAUCAGAAAGCCACGGCUAACUACGUG